rnacentral:rRNA from 1 species
GGGGCACAAACCAGGGGGUGGCGACUGUUUACUAAAAACACAGGGCUCUGCGAAGCCGUAAGGCGACGUAUAGGGUCUGACGCCUGCCCGGUGCCGGAAGGUUAAAAGGAGAUGUGCAAGCAUUGAAUUGAAGCCCCGGUAAACGGCGGCCGUAACUAUAACGGUCCUAAGGUAGCGAAAUUCCUUGUCGGGUAAGUUCCGACCUGCACGAAUGGCGUAACGACUUCCCCGCUGUCUCAAAUGUGGACUCAGCGAAAUUGAAUUGUCUGUGAAGAUGCAGACUUCCCGCGGUUAGACGGAAAGACCCCAUGCACCUUUACUAUAGCUUCGCACUGGCAUCAGGAUUGUGAUGUGCAGGAUAGGUGGUAGGCAUUGAAACCGGGACGCCAGUUCCGGUGGAGCCAUCCUUGAGAUACCACCCUUCGCACUCUUGAUGUCUAACCGCGGCCCGUUAUCCGGGUCCGGGACCCUGCGUGGUGGGUAGUUUGACUGGGGCGGUCGCCUCCCAAAGAGUAACGGAGGCGCGCGAAGGUUGGCUCAGAGCGGUCGGAAAUCGCUCGUUGAGUGCAAUGGCAGAAGCCAGCCUGACUGCAAGACUGACAAGUCGAGCAGAGACGAAAGUCGGCCAUAGUGAUCCGGUGGUCCCGAGUGGAAGGGCCAUCGCUCAACGGAUAAAAGGUACGCUGGGGAUAACAGGCUGAUGAUGCCCAAGAGUCCAUAUCGACGGCAUCGUUUGGCACCUCGAUGUCGGCUCAUCUCAUCCUGGGGCUGGAGCAGGUCCCAAGGGUAUGGCUGUUCGCCAUUUAAAGAGGUACGUGAGCUGGGUUUAGAACGUCGUGAGACAGUUCGGUCCCUAUCUGCCGUGGGUGUAGGAGACUUGAGAAGAGUUGCCCCUAGUACGAGAGGACCGGGGUGAACGUUCCACUGGUGGACCAGUUGUCGUGCCAACGGCAGUGCUGGGUAGCUAUGAACGGACAGGAUAAACGCUGAAGGCAUCUAAGCGUGAAGCCCCCCUCAAAACAAGGUAUCCCUUGAGAGCCGUGGAAGACCACCACGUCGAUAGGCCGGAGAUGUAAGCGCAGCAAUGCGUUCAGUUGACCGGUACUAAUGGCUCGAUUGGCUUGAUUUG